AUUCCUUCGGGUAGUGAUUUGUUGGACGCUAGCGGCGGAUGGGUGAGUAACACGUGGGCAAUCUGCCCUAAAGACUGGGAUACCACUUGGAAACAGGUGCUAAUACCGGAUAACAACAUGAAUCGCAUGAUUCAAGUUUGAAAGGCGGCGCAAGCUGUCACUUUAGGAUGAGCCCGCGGCGCAUUAGCUAGUUGGUGGGGUAAAGGCCUACCAAGGCAAUGAUGCGUAGCCGAGUUGAGAGACUGAUCGGCCACAUUGGGACUGAGACACGGCCCAAACUCCUACGGGAGGCAGCAGUA
rnacentral:rRNA from 1 species